UGUCACAAUGACUCUCGGCAACGGAUAUCUCGGCUCUUGCAUCGAUGAAGAACGUAGCGAAAUGCGAUACUUGGUGUGAAUUGCAGAAUCCCGUGAACCAUUGAGUCUUUGAAGGCAAGUUGCAUGCGAAGCCAUUAGGUUGAGGGCACGYCUGCCUGGGUGUCAGAC
rnacentral:rRNA from 1 species